UCUUGACUCAAUCUCCAGGGCUCAUACACGUGUCAGUCAGUAACACAGUUGAAUUAAAGUGUACAUAUGAAAACAGUGUUCCCUUCUGUCAUUCUACCUCUUGGUAUAAGAUAAAUUCAAGAACGAAUAAACUCGUGCCGGUGACGUUUAGCCCGUCUGACAGUAAGCAAGGUGAUAAAACUUGCAUUUUAAGAAUCAAAAACGUGACCCUAAAGGAUUCAGGCAUGUAUUAUUGCAGUGGCCAGCAUAGUUCACUAACUUUUAUGGGCAGUGGAAGCAAGGUGAUCGUUACAGAUCAAUCUAAACCAAAACUAUCCAUCCUCUACUCACCAGAUGAGAUGGAUACAUCAGUGGUCUCACUGCAGUGUCUGGUGAGUGAAGUUGUCCCGUCUCAGGUCCGCGUGUUCUGGAUGAUUGGUCAUAAAGUGCGCGCUGGAUGGAUCGAGUCAGCCUGGACAGACGACACAGAUUCAGCCACAGAGUUCACUCGUGCUCAUCUUUCUCUAACUGUAGAGGAGUGGAACAGCGGCGAUGAAAUUAACUGCACUGUUGAAUAUGACGGCAAAAACAUCUCGAAAACACUGAUAAAAUGGGACUCAGAUUCAGCCUGCGGACUGUUGCUGUAUGUGGGGCCUGUAGCAGCAUUUCUUAUCAUUGUUCUGGUUAUGAUCACAUUUACUUAUUUAUGCCGAGGUCUGGAGGAUAAACAUGCUGUAACCACGGAAGUUGAAUAUAAGAGUUUGGGCCUCGAUUUGCACCUGAAUUAGAUGACGGACUACAAAUGUAAACAUUAAGUUUUCAGUUUUGCUAAAAGGUUUAUUGGCUAUGUCUUGAAGCAAACUGUUAAAGAAAGGGAAUCAAUUUAUGGUUAAGUUCACUGGUAUGUUUGUUGUUUGUGUUAAUUAAAAGUAAAAAUACAACAGUGGAUAAGGAAUAAAAAUAAUAUUUGAUGUAUGUGAAAUAGAGUGUAAAUUAUGUUAGUAUGGAAAUGAACAGAUAUAUCACAGAUCUUUGGAGAGAAACA